CUGGAAUGAUGUGAAUUAGCCAAAUCAGACAUUAAUGUGCUCCAUAAGGCAACCGGCAUGAUCGAUCUGCUUGGAUCAUGUUGAUGACCCUCAUGUUGAAGCGCAUUUCUCUGAUGAUCAACAAAGAGAUUGGUUUCUUUUUCCUGACCAGA
rnacentral:snoRNA from 14 species